CUCAAACUUGCUUGAAAUGUACGUAAAGAUUGGUGCUGUAUGUAUUUUUUAUGUAAUUUACAGAAUACCUUGAUAAAAAUCGCUUGGAAAACUCAGUGCUUUAAUGUAACUUAUCAGUGAAUUCAUUAUGCAUGCGACAAUAAGGGAGUUCAGUGAAGAAGUGUUAUAUAAAAUGUCGAAAGCAGGCUAUGUUUAUUCUUCAGUGCUCUGUCACUCGACGCACUCAACUCAUGUAGGAACGGGCUGAAUGCUCGCCGAUGUCUCGCAUUGUAGUACUAGCGUUGCCGGCGAUACGACGCAGCUCGGUCGACACCAGCAAAACAAUGUUAUCGAACUCGUAUCACUAUCAGAUAAUCAAAAGACGAUAAUAAUAACAUGAGUUUGUGGCGGACUUAUAUUUCAACGUAAAUAAUGCGUACAAAUCGCUAUAGACCGAUGUUGUGAGUGAGAUUCGUUAUGAUAUAUUUACAAAAAUGAGACAUGCAUCCGACCGAAAUGCAAAAAAGUGUAUCUGUGCAAGUAGAUAGUGAUUUUGCCCUUUUACUGCCCAGUGGUGCAUACGAAAUUAAAAAGAUGGAGCCACGGUCCAAGCUUCGUAAAGUGAUAUUGUUCUGUUUACUACUUUCACUGUUUGGAAUGGUGGCGUUUGGAUAUUUCUGUCCUGAUCAGGUGUGCGCCCUGUCUCCAAGGGAUAGAGUGUCUGAAUCUCUCGCGCUGAGCUAUGCGGAGGCUCCCGGGCGGCCUCUCCCAGACGUGAUGGCUCAGCCAGGGCUCUCGUAUGACGAGGUGCUGCAUGAUGACUUUCGAUUCGAUCUGAACGCACACGAUGUAAUGGUGUUCUUGCAUAUACAGAAGACAGGAGGAACGUCCUUUGGGAGGCACUUGGUUAUGGAUCUGGAUUUGAAGAGGCCGUGCAACUGUCAGCGGGCGCGUAAACGCUGCCAUUGUUUUCGGCCGCACAGCAACGAAAUAUGGCUCUUUUCGAGAUAUUCAACUGGCUGGAAAUGUGGUCUUCACGCAGACUUCACGGAGUUGACGGCUUGCGUGGGCGGCGAGCUGGACCGGCACGAGGGCUCGGCGGUGCAUCGCCGGUACUUCUACAUCACGCUGCUGAGAGAGCCAGUUGCCAGAUAUUUGUCGGAGUACCGGCACGUGAAGCGAGGCGCCACGUGGAAAGGCUCGCGGCACUGGUGUCAAGGGCGGACGGCCACUGCGGGAGAAGUACCACCGUGUUACACUGGAGAAUCUUGGCGAGGAGUGACUCUGGAAGACUUCGCGUCUUGCCCGUGGAACUUGGCGAACAACAGGCAGACUCGCAUGCUGGCGGACUUGGCGCUGGUCGGCUGCUACAACGGCACGCUGCGGCACAGGAGCGCUGACUCGGACCGAGUGCUGCUCGCGUCUGCCAAGCGCAACUUGGCUGCCAUGGCGUACUUCGGACUCACGGAAUUCCAGAAGAUAUCCCAGUACGUGUUCGAGGAGACGUUCAACCUGCGCUUCGCGGUCCCCUUCACCCAGCACAACGCCACGGUGUCGGGCGCCACGCUGGCAGCACUGUCGCCCGCGCAGGUGACGCGCAUCCGCCGGCUCAACUCGCUCGACCUGGAGCUGUACGAGUUCGCUAAGAACCUCAUGUUCAAACGGUACGCUAUGUUUGUUGUUAGACUCAUUGACUACAUCCCAGCACAACGCCACGGUGUCGGGCGCCACGCUGGCAGCACUGUCGCCCGCGCAGGUGACGCGCAUCCGCCGGCUCAACUCGCUCGACCUGGAGCUGUACGAGUUCGCUAAGAACCUCAUGUUCAAACGGUACGCUAUGUUUGUUGUUAGACUCAUUGACUACAUCCCAGCACAACGCCACGGUGUCGGGCGCCACGCUGGCAGCACUGUCGCCCGCGCAGGUGACGCGCAUCCGCCGGCUCAACUCGCUCGACCUGGAGCUGUACGAGUUCGCUAAGAACCUCAUGUUCAAACGGUACGCUAUGUUUGUUGUUAGACUCAUUGACUACAUCCCAGCACAACGCCACGGUGUCGGGCGCCACGCUGGCAGCACUGUCGCCCGCGCAGGUGACGCGCAUCCGCCGGCUCAACUCGCUCGACCUGGAGCUGUACGAGUUCGCUAAGAACCUCAUGUUCAAACGGUACGCUAUGUUUGUUGUUAGACUCAUUGACUACAUCCCAGCACAACGCCACGGUGUCGGGCGCCACGCUGGCAGCACUGUCGCCCGCGCAGGUGACGCGCAUCCGCCGGCUCAACUCGCUCGACCUGGAGCUGUACGAGUUCGCUAAGAACCUCAUGUUCAAACGACUCGGUGACCUUCUGCCUGCUGGAGCAAGACCCACUCGAGCGUGGCCUUCAGCAAACAGACAAAAGAUAGAACCUCUUUAGUGCCAACGUGCAUAACUGCAGCCUCCUAAUAUUACUGUGAUACAAGUUAGCUUAAAAAUGAUGAAUGUUUU